AUUGAACGCUGGCGGCAGGCCUAACACAUGCAAGUCGAGCGGAUGAAGAGAUCUUGCUCUCUGAUUUAGCGGCGGACGGGUGAGUAAUGCCUAGGAAUCUGCCUGGUAGUGGGGGAUAACGUUCCGAAAGGAACGCUAAUACCGCGUACGUCCUACGGGAGAAAGCAGGGGACCUUCGGGCCUUGCGCUAUCAGAUGAGCCUAGGUCGGAUUAGCUAGUUGGUGAGGUAAUGGCUCAACAAGGCUACGAUCCGUAACUGGUCUGAGAGGAUGAUCAGUCACACUGGAACUGAGACACGGUCCAGACUCCUACGGGAGGCAGCAGUGGGGAAUAUUGGACAAUGGGCGAAAGCCUGAUCCAGCCAUGCCGCGUGUGUGAAGAAGGUCUUCGGAUUGUAAAGCACUUUAAGUUGGGAGGAAGGGCGUUUGGCUAAUAUCCAGGCGUUUUGACGUUACCAACAGAAUAAGCACCGGCUAACUUCGUGCCAGCCGCCGCGGUAAAAC
rnacentral:rRNA from 1 species